GCAGUCGCCGCGGGAAUACAGAGGGUGCGAGCGUUAAUCGGAUUUACUGGGCGUAAAGCGUGCGUAGGCGGCUUCUUAAGUCGGAUGUGAAAUCCCUGAGCUUAACUUAGGAAUUGCAUUCGAUACUGGGAAGCUAGAGUAUGGGAGAGGAUGGUAGAAUUCCAGGUGUAGCGGUGAAAUGCGUAGAGAUCUGGAGGAAUACCGAUGGCGAAGGCAGCCAUCUGGCCUAAUACUGACGCUGAGGUACGAAAGCAUGGGGAGCAAACAGGAUUAGAUACCCGUGUAGUCCCUGUCUCUUAUAC
rnacentral:rRNA from 1 species